GAAGAUAACAUUGUUCUAAUUUCAAUAUAUUUGUGUGUAUGUUUAUUUUUUUUCUUUGCAAAUAUGGAACGUGGCUUAACUAUCAUCCACCGGGAUCCGUAGUUUUUGAAGGGGUUUGCUUUGUGAGUGAUGGAAUCCUAUGAAAUUAGAGAGGGGAAAGGAAGGCAACCAAGGAGUAUUACCACCUAUCUCAGUCACCACCGCCACAACUCCUCGUUUUUAGAGCUCUUUUGUUUUAACUAAAUCACCGGGGAGAACAGUGGCAAUUUUGUUUUGAUUGUUCUGAAUCCGUGAGUUACUGGUUCAUUCUGAAGGGCUUUUAGUUGAUUAUCGGUGGACAUCUGACCAGAAUACCGUCGGCUAUAUUCAGAGGACACCAUAGUUACGAAGAAAGGAGAAAGGGCAAGUAGAAGAGUCGAAUGUAUCUCAGUAUUAUAAGAGGUUACUCGGUGUCGGAAAAAUCAUGCAACUCUUUAACCAUGGCUAGACAGUAUUGGUUGGAAAUUGGAAGGAUAUAUGCUCGGUUUUGAAAGACACUAUCAAAUCUGGAGUAGGUGGGGCAGAAAAGUUGGGGGUCAAAGCGCAGAUGGAGAGGGAAAAAAUUUCUUAGUCACUCAGUUUAGAGAUGAGAUAGCAAAUCGGAUCUGGAACAAGGUGGCGGCUCAAGGUUUUAGAUGGAACCUAUGAGUUCCGAAAGAGGUCCUAUUCUUUAUCUGGAAGCUCGUGCAGGGCUGCAUCGCUAAUAAAUUGUGCUUCUGCAGCGUGGGGUUUCUAUUAUGUAACGAGAGUUUUGCGUAUUGAGGAGAGACUUGAAACUUUGGAAGUGAUGGGUUCAAAAGCAUCUCAGCUCAUAUAAAUGAUAUUACAUCCGGUUAGGAAGCAAGCAGUAGCGUGCAUGAGGUUCUUCCACCCGCGUUGGAUUCCACUUCUUAGCCACUACCUCUAAUUGACAAAACCAACCUGGCUGUGGACCUUGAUGAAGGAGUUUGAGAGCACUUUUCCAUCUAGCAAUUAGGAAGGAGGUUGCACUUUUCGACCCAUUUGACAAAACAGGUUAUUCAUGCAUGUUUAAGCUAUUUGCCAAUCAAAGGAGAUCUUAUCGAGGCUAAAGGUGUUCACGAGCUAUUUUGUUCAUUGGUCAAAAGACAAGUAUGGGCAAUGCUUUUUUUUGUUCUUCUUUACCUCUUUUUGCAUUGCUUCUAACAAACUUUGUUGUCUAUAUCACAAGUUAGACAUGGAACUGCAGCGUCCCUACAACCUAUAUGUGCAAUAAUUGUUUCUAUAUUUGAUAUAAAUAUUUGAGUAUUCUAUUAUAUCCAUGCCCUGUGAGCUGAGGGGGCUACCCUAUUGAUUACCAGCACUCAUGGUCGGGUGAAUAGUCGUAGACAGUGUGCUUUCACACAAAUAAGUUCCACUCUAUCCUUAUCCAGGACAUUGGAUUCUUAUAGCUUGGAAUUAUUGUUAAAGUGGAAUUUGUUCUUCGUUCUCAAGUGAGAGGGUUUGAGUAAAAAAUAAAAACGAGUACUUUUGCAGGUUGGGUUGGAAUUCUCAGCACAUUCUCUAUUGGGGUGAAAUAUUGAAUAUACAAGAGAUGAAUAUGACAUGAUGUGCUUUGUGUUGGCAUCACAUAAUAAACAUGGCCUAGAAGGGUACAAUCGAAGGGCAAUCUCAUGCCUGUUGGACACCUUAUGAUAAGUAUAACAUUGUAGGGUUUGUAAGCAAAUUUUCAAAGUGUGCUUGGCGGUAGUUAAAGACGGAAGAGAAUAUUAGAGGAAAAGUCAACGACAUGAAGAAAAGAAAGAUAUUAGCUUUGUUCGAGAAUUUAGUGAAAAUGGU
rnacentral:lncRNA from 1 species